rnacentral:rRNA from 1 species
GUACUGCUCAGUAACACGUGGAUAACCUGCCCUUGGGUCCGGCAUAACCCCGGGAAACUGGGGAUAAUUCCGGAUAACGCACAUAUGCUGGAAUGCUUUAUGCGUAAAAUGGAUUCGUCUGCCCAAGGAUGGGUCUGCGGCCUAUCAGGUAGUAGUGGGUGUAAUGUACCUACUAGCCUACGACGGGUACGGGUUGUGAGAGCAAGAGCCCGGAGAUGGAUUCUGAGACAUGAAUCCAGGCCCUACGGGGCGCAGCAGGCGCGAAAACUUUACAAUGCGGGAAACCGUGAUAAGGGGACACCGAGUGCCAGCAUCCUAUGCUGGCUGUCCGGGUGUGUAAAAUACACCUGUUAGCAAGGGCCGGGCAAGACCGGUGCCAGCCGCCGCGGUAACACCGGCGGCCCGAGUGGUGAUCGUGAUUAUUGGGUCUAAAGGGUCCGUAGCCGGUUUGGUCAGUCCUCCGGGAAAUCUGACAGCUUAACUGUUAGGCUUUCGGAGGAUACUGCCAGACUUGGAACCGGGAGAGGUAAGAGGUACUACAGGGGUAGGAGUGAAAUCUUGUAAUCCCUGUGGGACCACCUGUGGCGAAGGCGUCUUACCAGAACGGGUUCGACGGUGAGGGACGAAAGCUGGGGGCACGAACCGGAUUAGAUACCCGGGUAGUCCCAGCCGUAAACGAUGCUCGCUAGGUGUCAGGCAUGGCGCGACCGUGUCUGGUGCCGCAGGGAAGCCGUGAAGCGAGCCACCUGGGAAGUACGGCCGCAAGGCUGAAACUUAA